GAAUACAUCAGAUGGAUUUCUGUGGAACAUGAACCAUGGCAGUACAAAGCCUUUCUCUUAUCUCUCUCCAUAUAUUGUGACCUGUGGAGCAGCCGUCAUUUCUCUAAAUUCCACAUUCAACUCAGAGUGAAUUGCACUCGUAUAACCCGAAGGGAAAAUAACUCCCGUGAUGCGCACAAAUAGAGUCCUGUGUAAUGUGGCGUUCCCGUGUAGGUUACAUAAAAUCGAAACAAUUUCUCUAUGGCUCUCCACACCGAAUUCAAAAUUCAUUUCAAAGCCAAAAUAGCUCAAAAUAUUUGGGGGAAUUCCUUACAAUUUGGGUAUUGUGGCCUAAUAUUUUGAAUUCACACUUUAGUAAUUAACACUGUUAUCUUUUACAAAUUUACAUUGACCUGCUGUUGUAAUGACGAAUGUCGUCCCAAAAGUAGGAGAGAAAUCCCCAUAUAGAAAUGUCUAAUUAUACCUUAAAAAGGAUACAAUCUCCCUUCUGUAUUUCAGUUAUCAAGCCAGCUAUUAUAAUGCCUUUCUCACAAUGCCUUUAAAAUGCAUUAAUUGAGUCCAACAAUACAGAAUGUAUCUUUGGUGAAUUCCAUAUUAUACUGUAAAACUAUUUCUGUUGCUGUAGGUGAAAUCUUUUUUGCUCCAGUCUCAGAUGAUGACAUUGCAUUCUUUGUAGAGUCCUGUCAAUGAACAGUGUAGGAUAUUUUCUUGAGAUGUUUGUUUGUCACACACCAGUGUUCUAAUAAUCGAAUCAGAGUGUCUUGCAGCCAAAAAUGUAUAUUUAUUCAAACAUACACAAUGUAGCGGAAUAAGCCUUGGAGCAUCACCCUCAUUGUUGCUAGGGGCUGUCCGUAUCCCCUUUUUCCGUUGUCCCCAAUGGUUGGGGCUUGCAGUCCCUGUGUGAGACAGAUCUUCCUAUUAUUGAAUUCGAAAUGGCUGUCGAUCACUGGCGGCGGCCAUCUUGUUUUGUGUAAUGCAUCCAGCGGUGUUUGGUCAUCGAGUGCAUGGAACUCAAAU